CUUUACAGAAAAAAAGGAACAUUAAUGAUACUACAACAAAGGGCAUCAUAUUUACGACUAGAGGAGAAGACUGGCUGACUCCCUGGAAGGCCUAUCUCAACCUCACCGGUGUUCUGAGAUGCUGCUGCAAUGCUGGUCUUUGUUAUUGCUGCUCUGCAGUGACUCCCAGCAGGCAGCACAGCCAGACUGCCUUUAAAGCCUUUUGUGCAAGUCAUGGCAGGGGUGAAAACCAAGUAACGGCAGUGAAGAAAACCUAUACAGAUACUUUAAUCAUCAUUGACCAGAUUAAGUGCUCUCCUGGCUGAAGUGAGGCAGUGCAGUGGUGUUUAAUGAGAUCACAGCCAUGUCUGAAGUGUGACCUGUUGGCUGGCAGAAGGCAGAUACUUAAGAACGAAUCCCAGUAGGUGGCUUAGCUUUUAAAAUAAGGUUUGAUUUCCACAAAGAUUCUGAGAUCUAUCAGCAAAAAAGGCAGGGGAGAGAGACUGCAGGGCACCCAUCUGAAAUUUAAUCAGGAAGUUAAACUUACAGUAACAAAAAAAGAGCUUUAUUUAUAGAGGAAGUACUGCUUUAUAUGUACUUUGUGAAAAUCAAUGGGAAUGGCAAGUCCUAUACUCCUAACAGUUUUGUGUCAAAAUCUUGUUAACAUAUCUAACUUAAUAUAUAAUAUGUAGUCAAUAAUUAUUCCAUUAGAAGUGCUGUAAUGUAUUAUUAUUUCCAAGUAGAACUUCAAACCGAAUUCUUAAUAACGUUCUUUUUUACGAACUCAUUUCAUGAUCACAAACAAUAAAGCAAAAAAUGAAAAGGUUCUUUGUGGGCAGAGCAUCUGAAGUAACUGCAGCUUCUAGUUCUGAUCUUUGCAGAAAUAUUGCCGCAUUUCUACCACAGACUCUUCCUUCCUGAUCAGAGAUGAACAUUGAAAAUUUUAAAACUUGGCUCUACUCAGAGUAUUCUUCCCUCUUUAAGAUGUUGCAGCUGUUUUUUGUUGGUUGGUUUGGGUUUUGUUUUUUUUUUUAGGUCUGUCUUUUCAGAGAGUUGCAUUAAUUAAUAAGUGAUGUCUUCUGCCCAGAACGUGCUUGCAUGGUCCUAAUGAUAUCUCCUUGGGUCUUAGGUUC
rnacentral:lncRNA from 1 species